GCAGCACACGUGCAGGUUGGGGUGGGGAUGUCUGGCUGGCCUGGUGUCUCCCAGGACAGACGGAUGCUGGGCUGCACGUGGAGAAGUGCUGAGAGUUUUUAGACAUCCUGGAGCUUUUUGAGAGGCUCAGGAGAGCAUUGAGUGUGGUUUGAAGUCGCCAGCCCCGGCCAUGGCACUGCUCAGACCAGUGGAGG